UACGUAGGGGGCUAGCGUUGUCCGGAAUCAUUGGGCGUAAAGAGCGUGUAGGCGGCCCGGUAAGUCCGCUGUGAAAGUCGGGGCUCAACCCUCGAAUGCCGGUGGAUACUGUCGGGCUAGAGUGCGGAAGAGGCGAGUGGAAGUUCCUGGUGUAGCGGUGAAAUGCGCAGAUAUCAGGAGGAACACCAAUUGCGAAGGCAGCUCGCUGGGACGUAACUGACGCUGAGACGCGAAAGCGUGGGGAGCAAACAGG
rnacentral:rRNA from 1 species